UACUAUCCGGGGAGGCAGCGGUGCCCUGUACCCGAAAUCCGCUUCAGCGGGGGUGAAUUCCGUUCCCGAGGGUUGUUUCUGUAUAGUCUGCGCCGUUUCGAGUUGCGUUGAACGAUGGGUCUUCCGCAAUCGGCGGCUGUGAACCAUGUCAGGCGGGGAACCGAGCAGCAUUAAGCGGUUUGUCCGAUGUGCCGGAAGGGCGCCUGUCCGGAGCAGCGAGGGCG
rnacentral:SRP_RNA from 1 species